GCUUUUCCCGUCUAAUCAGUAAAUAAGCCUCCAGUGGUGGAACUCAUGGUCAAGGUUCUGCCUUCUGAGUUCAUGUGUUUCUCCCUUCUCUACAUCAGAAUCCACCUCAUUGCCUGGAGAUCACGCCACCAUCUUCAGAAAAGCUGGUCUCAGUGAUGCGGUUAAGUGACCUCUCUACAGAAGAUGAUGACUCAGGUCACUGUAAAAUGAACCGUUAUGAUAAGAAGAUUGAUAGUCUAAUGAAUGCGGUUGGUUGUCUGAAGUCUGAGGUCAAAAUGCAGAAGGGUGAGCGCCAGAUGGCCAAAAGGUUCCUGGAGGAGCGGAAGGAAGAGCUGGAGGAGGUGGCCAAUGAACUGGCCGAGACUGAACAUGAGAACACGGUGCUGAGGCACAACAUCGAGCGCAUGAAGGAGGAGAAGGACUACACCAUACUUCAGAAGAAACACCUACAGCAGGAGAAGGAGUGCCUCAUGUCCAAGCUGGUGGAGGCUGAAAUGGAUGGGGCUGCGGCUGCCAAGCAGGUCAUGGCCUUGAAGGAUACCAUCGGGAAGCUGAAAACGGUAGGUGGCAGGUGGGAGGACCCCAGCCAUGGAACUGACCCAGGGAAGGGGCAGC
rnacentral:lncRNA from 1 species